rnacentral:rRNA from 1 species
AUUGAACGCUGGCGGCAGGCUUAACACAUGCAAGUCGAGCGGAGAUGAGGUGCUUGCACCUUAUCUUAGCGGCGGACGGGUGAGUAAUGCUUAGGAGUCUGCCUAUUAGUGGGGGACAACAUUCCGAAAGGAAUGCUAAUACCGCAUACGUCCUACGGGAGAAAGCAGGGGAUCUUCGGACCUUGCGCUAAUAGAUGAGCCUAAGUCGGAUUAGCUAGUUGGUGGGGUAAAGGCCUACCAAGGCGACGAUCUGUAGCGGGUCUGAGAGGAUGAUCCGCCACACUGGGACUGAGACACGGCCCAGACUCCUACGGGAGGCAGCAGUGGGGAAUAUUGGACAAUGGGGGAAACCCUGAUCCAGCCAUGCCGCGUGUGUGAAGAAGGCCUUAUGGUUGUAAAGCACUUUAAGCGAGGAGGAGGCUACUGAGACUAAUACUCUUGGAUAGUGGACGUUACUCGCAGAAUAAGCACCGGCUAACUCUGUGCCAGCCGCCGCUGUAA